GAAACACAGGGUAAUACCGGAUACGACCUUUAGACUGAGGUUUAAAGGGGAAAGGCGCUUAGGCGUCGCCCUUUGCUGAGCCUGCGGCUGAUUAGCUAGUUGGUAGGGUAACGGCCUACCAAGGCGACGAUGAGUAGCCGGCCUGAGAGGGUGAUCGGCCACACUGGGACUGAGACACGGCCCAGACUUCUACGGAAGGCAGCAGCUAAGAAUCUUCCGCAAUGGGGGGAACCCUGACGGAGCGACGCCGCGUGAACGAAGAAGGCCGGAAGGUUGUAAAGUUCUUUUCCUGGGGGAGAAUAAUGCGUGGAGGGAAUGCCAUGCAGGUGACGUGAACCAGGGAAUAAGCCCCGGCUAAUUACGUGCCAGCAGCCGCGGUAACACGUAAGGGGCAAGCGUUGUUCGGAUUUAUUGGGCGUAAAGGGCGCGUAGGCGGUGAGAUAAGUCUGGUGUUAAAUACUUCGGCUCAACCGGAGAGGUGCGCUGGAAACUGUCUUGCUUGAGUGAUGGAGGGGGAACUGGAAUUCCUGGUGUA
rnacentral:rRNA from 1 species